AUUGAACGCUGGCGGAAUGCUUUACACAUGCAAGUCGAACGGCAGCACGGACUUCGGUCUGGUGGCGAGUGGCGAACGGGUGAGUAAUAUAUCGGAACGUGCCCAGUCGUGGGGGAUAACGUAGCGAAAGCUACGCUAAUACCGCAUACGAUCUACGGAUGAAAGCGGGGGAUCGCAAGACCUCGCGCGAUUGGAGCGGCCGAUAUCAGAUUAGGUAGUUGGUGAGGUAAAGGCUCACCAAGCCGACGAUCUGUAGCUGGUCUGAGGGGACGACCAGCCACACUGGGACUGAGACACGGCCCAGACUCCUACGGGAGGCAGGAGUGGGAAUUUUGGACAAUGGACGCAAGUCUGAUCCAGCCAUUCCGCGUGCAGGACGAAGGCCUUCGGGUUGUAAACUGCUUUUGUACAGAACGAAAAGGUCUCUAUUAAUACUAGGGGCUCAUGACGGUACUGUAAGAAUAAGCACCGGCUAACUACGUGCCAGCCGCCGCGGUAA
rnacentral:rRNA from 1 species